rnacentral:sRNA from 1 species
GGUAAUAGAAUAGGUGACUCAAGGGUGGUCGGCUCACUCCCCAUGAAAGGGGGUGAUGUCGAUGUCAGUUUUUGAAACGUUAAUGUUUGCUGUAGCUUUCGCAACUUUAAUUGUGUUGAUUCUGUCAUUUAACCAUAAAAAAUAACCCAUCCUUGAGUUAACGGCUCAUAGGGAUGGGUUAUUCUCACUCCGUAAGUGCUGAUCCCCUUGUAGGGAACCGACUAUUGCAUUGAUUGAUCGAUGCGACAACAUCGAUCA